AACGCUGGCGGCAGGCCUAACACAUGCAAGUCGAACGGUNACAUUUCUAGCUUGCUAGAAGAUGACGAGUGGCGGACGGGUGAGUAAUACUUAGGAAUAUGCCUUUGUGUGGGGGAUAACUAUUGGAAACGAUAGCUAAUACCGCAUAACGUCUUCGGACCAAAGGGGGCUUCGGCUCCCGCGCAAAGAGUAGCCUAAGCGAGAUUAGCUUGUUGGUGAGGUAAAGGCUCACCAAGGCGACGAUCUCUAGCUGUUCUGAGAGGAAGAUCAGCCACACUGGAACUGAGACACGGUCCAGACUCCUACGGGAGGCAGCA
rnacentral:rRNA from 1 species